CCCGAAUUGGUGAUAUCCGACGUUUUAACAGUCGGAUCCAAGUGGAUCCAUCAGGAGACGCAGAGAGAGCGUACCAACAGUUGUAUUCAGUUCUUGAUCUGCAACCUCUACCCUCGACCCUACCCCGUCUAAACCCUCGUUCGAUUCCGUAACAGAAAUGCGAAAUUUUGCUUAGUUAUUAAUCAGAGCAGGUAAAAAGGGUUUUCGAAUUUUUGUCGAAAAUUUAGAUCUCAGUGUUUGUGCGUGAAGGAAAAUAAUUGAGGAGAAAUGUUGACCAAGUUCGAGACAAAGAGUAAUAGAGUAAAGGGAUUGAGUUUUCACAGCAAGAGGCCAUGGAUCUUGGCGAGUUUACACAGUGGUGUGAUUCAGUUGUGGGAUUAUCGUAUGGGCACUCUCGUCGAUCGAUUUGAUGAGCACGAUGGACCGGUCCGCGGAGUCCAUUUUCAUAAGUCUCAGCCCCUUUUUGUUUCUGGAGGUUUGAUUUGUAUUUAUUUUAUCUGGUUUUGUAAAUUUAACUUUUGGUACCUUGAUCUCUGCUUGAUUUUGUGUUAUUGUGUGUAUUUUGGAUUGUUUACGGUGGUUUAGUCUGGAUGUGCUUGUUUGUGUGGCAGUUGAUGUUUGAUCCUUGAACUUUUUGAUCUGAAAUCAUGUUA
rnacentral:lncRNA from 1 species